rnacentral:rRNA from 1 species
UACGAAGGGGGCUAGCGUUGCUCGGAAUCACUGGGCGUAAAGGGUGCGUAGGCGGGUCUUUAAGUCAGGGGUGAAAUCCUGGAGCUCAACUCCAGAACUGCCUUUGAUACUGAAGAUCUUGAGUUCGGGAGAGGUGAGUGGAGCUGCGAGUGUAGAGGUGAAAAUUCGUAGAUAUUCGCAAGAACACCAGUGGCGAAGGCGGCUCACUGGCCCGAUACUGACGCUGAGGCACGAAAGCGUAAGGGAGCAAACAGG